GAUGAACGCUGGCGGCGUGCCUAAUACAUGCAAGUCGAGCGAACAGAUAAGGAGCUUGCUCCUUUGACGUUAGCGGCGGACGGGUGAGUAACACGUGGGUAACCUACCUAUAAGACUGGAAUAACUUCGGGAAACCGGGGCUAAUGCCGGAUAACAUUUAGAACCGCAUGGUUCGAAAGUGAAAGAUGGUUUUGCUAUCACUUAUAGAUGGACCCGCGCCGUAUUAGCUAGUUGGUAAGGUAACGGCUUACCAAGGCAACGAUACGUAGCCGACCUGAGAGGGUGUCCGGCCAACCGGGACCUGAGCCCCGGCCCAGCCCCCUAGGGGAGGCAGCAGUAGGAAACCUGCCGCAAUGGGCGAAAGCCUGCCGGAGCAACGCGGCGUGAGUGAUGAAGGUCUUCGGAUCGUAAAACUCUGUUAUUAGGGAAGACCAAAUGUGUAAGAACUGUGCACGUCUUGACGGUACCUAAUCAGAAAGCCACGGCUAACUACGUG
rnacentral:rRNA from 1 species